UGAAUGUUAGCCGUCGGGGUGUUUACACUUCGGUGGCGCAGCUAACGCAUUAAACAUUCCGCCUGGGGAGUACGGUCGCAAGAUUAAAACUCAAAGGAAUUGACGGGGGCCCGCACAAGCGGUGGGGCAUGUGGUUUAAUUCGAAGCAACGCGCAGAACCUUACCAGCUCUUGACAUGCCUAUGAAUGUUAGUGGAGACACUUUCAGCCUUUCGGGGCGUAGGACACAGGUGCUGCAUGGCUGUCGUCAG
rnacentral:rRNA from 1 species